rnacentral:misc_RNA from 1 species
GAAAUGCGAUAAGUAAUGUGAAUUGCAGAAUUCAGUGAAUCAUCGAAUCUUUGAACGCACAUUGCGCCCAUUAGUAUUCUAGUGGGCAUGCCUGUUCGAGCGUCAUUUCAACCCCUAAGCACAGCUUACUGUUGGGACUCUACGGCCCCCGUAGUUCCCCAAAGCCAUUGGCGGAGUGGCAGUAGUCCUCUAAGCGUAGUAAUUCUUUAUCUCGCUUUUGUUAGGCGCUGCCCCCCCGGCCGUUAAACCCCCCAAUUUUUUCUGGUUGACCUCGGAUCAGGUAGGAAUACCCGCUGAACUUAAGC